rnacentral:rRNA from 1 species
UAGGGAAUCUUCGGCAAUGGACGAAAGUCUGACCGAGCAACGCCGCGUGAGUGAAGAAGGUUUUCGGAUCGUAAAACUCUGUUGUUAGAGAAGAACAAGGACGUUAGUAACUGAACGUCCCCUGACGGUAUCUAACCAGAAAGCCACGGCUAACUACGUGCCAGCAGCCGCGGUAAUACGUAGGUGGCAAGCGUUGUCCGGAUGUAUUGGGCGUAAAGCGAGCGCAGGCGGUUUCUUAAGUCUGAUGUGAAAGCCCCCGGCUCAACCGGGGAGGGUCAUUGGAAACUGGGCGACUUGAGUGCAGAAGAGGAGAGUGGAAUUCCAUGUGUAGCGAUGAAAUGCGUAGAUAUAUGGAGGAACACCAGUGGCGAAGGCGGCUCUCUGGUCUGUAACUGACGCUGAGGCUCGAAAGCGUGGGGAGCAAACAGG